GAAAUGGCGGGAACUCAAACUCCAACAAGCCGAUUAGAGAAGCCAUUAUGACGUUAAUUUCAAUUGUCUUCGUAAUGGAAGAAAUGGCGCCUCAGUGAGAGCUCUCUCAUCGCGUAGCAACUGAUACGGAGGGAAUAAACAGACAAACGUAUUCAUUGAGGAAGGCGAGGGAGGCGAGGUAGGAGACGAGACUGAAGAGUUCAGCCACCACCAUGAGCCAAUGCCAGGUGCGAACCGUGAGCGCCACCAUGAGCAGCUCGGUGAGGAUGAGAGCAGUGAAGGAGAUCGCCACAACAUGCACAAACUCCUGAUCAAACAACACCAGGGCACCGUACAUCAGGAUGCCCCCUGGUGGCCAAACAGAAGAAGUGACGCAAUGUGAACAGGAUCUAGACGUCAAUGGAGAAAAUGCACCUGAUGGGGAUGAUGUACGAGAACAGAACCACGAAACGGAAGAGGUUACGAAACCAAGGGCCUAGAAAUCCCUGUAGAGCGACCAUAACA